rnacentral:lncRNA from 1 species
GGAUGAUAUUCAUUUCUGCUCGAGGUUUCUGUCUUAACAGCAGCUUUGUCCAGCAGCAGAGGAGUGGCUGGUGUCAGAACCACUAAAGGCCUGUUCCUCGUCUUCACUCUGCUGUGUCUGGUUUGCCUCUCAAGUUCACUGGUAAACAAGGACAAACUGGUAAAUAUGAUCUUGCUUUAAUCUCACAUUUACUUGCAAGUCCACAGUGUGAGUCAUCACAUACAAAUCUACUGUUGAAAUAUGUUUUUUUCUUCAGUCGUAUGUUCUCACAUGUCCUAAUCUAUGAUUGCGUCUUGAUUCUCAUUCUGGAUUUGCAGAAAAAGCUCAAGGAAAACAUUGAGAAAGAACAACGACAACUGAACAUGCAGAAGGCAUCAUUGGCCACCUCUUCACAGCUCAUGAAUUAUUAUGUGAACCUCAUGGACCCACUGAAGGGAAUAGUGAAGACAACCUCAGAAGACUCAUCUGAUGUCUUUCCACCACUGGAGGGACUAAUGGACUGCAUCAAGGACUUUGCGGAGAAAGCCAAGACUUUUGUAGAUGGGGAGAAUGAGGAGUUGGGUGAAAAGAUAGAGAAGAAUGAACAGACUCUGAGAAACAUUAGGAAAUUAAUCAAUUUAAUUGAGGAGAAAGAAGCUGAAUUGUAGCUCCCAUGUCAGUCAGCGCCUCUGUCUCUGAUGUUGCAUCUAUUGUACCCACUAAGUUUCUCUUUUUUAUCGUUCAGCUUCAUUUUACGGUUUCAUGAACUCAUGAAUUCCUUUUAUUGUUUGACAUAAGAUAGGAUGUUAAAGAGAGGGAUUCUCUAUUGAAACAGAUAGUGUGGAUAAUGUGUUGAUAUCUUCUUAAUGAAUACUUUAACAAUAAAGAAUUACAUUUUGGAAAGUGUAAAACAAUGUUUCUGAAAAAUGACACAAAAUAAAAUGAUUUAUUAACUGCUGUUUCCAGUUAGCUAAAAAUACUGAGGUAGAUUACAGAAGUAUGUCAUUGUUUUGUUUCCUUUUGCUGGUUUAAUUUCAGUUUCCUUACAUUCACCACAAUACAAACUAUAAUAUCCAGUCUACAUUCUUACAUCUGUGACUUGUAAGGUUAUUGUUUAGAUAUCAUAUAUACAUUCUAGGAAAAGCUGUUAAAAAUACAUUGUAUUGUAUAUCAAAUUCGGCCUGUGUGCAACCCAAAUAAAUUCCAUACAUAGGAAUGCAUACACAAUCC